rnacentral:lncRNA from 1 species
UCCUAAUAUGGAGAUGCAACAAUGGACAAUGCUGGAGCUUGGGGGGAUCCUUUUGCUGUUAAAAGAAAAAGUGUCCUGGGAUGGAACAAGAAUCAGGUGCAGUGGCACAAAUAGAAGACAAGCACCAGUGGGACACCCCUCUAUUGCAAAUUGGACUGAACAUUAAACAACAGAAAAUCUGCCUCUGGCUUUGUCAGCCUCAUCCAUGGUUCAACACUGCAACUGCAAGAAAGUGUUCAACAGGGUUAAUGCCAGAUAAAUUCCCUCCAAAACAAGGUUUGCAA